UAUAUAUAAAACAGUCAGUUCUCAAAGUUGAUGUGUUGUAAGCACAAAGGCCAAAUUGUGAUGGCUGGACUGGGUCAAACAGCAGGUCUUGUGGGGUGUUCCCAGUAUGUAGUGGUUAGUACCUACCAAAAAUGCUCCAAGGGAGGACAACCGUACUUAUGAAGACUUAUGAAGAUGUAAGAAAAAAAAAAGUUGUUGAAGAGUCAAGAGAAAUGGUAUGAGAUUAUAUUCAUUCAUCUUCAGCCGCUGUAUCCUGGUCAGGGUAACACUGCAUCUGGAUCUUAUCUGGGGAACACUGGACGCGAGAACAUACUAAAACUCCUCACAGAAACGAACUGAGCUUGGUUUGAACCAGGGAUUCUGGAGCUCUGGAGCUGUGGGGCAACAACACUACCCACCAUGCUGCCUAAACAUUGUGCUUCAAGAGACAACAGCACCAGUCUAAUCUAUGUUAAUCUUAUGAUAAUAAGGCAAAGAAAUGAAUUAUCCUGACAGUCUGCGCUGAUGGAGAAUGUACUUUCAGAGACACAACAGCAGUCCUUAAGGUGCAGACAAACAAGUCAUGAGCAAGUUUCAUGGAUGGAAGUACAACUACAUAACAGGAAAAGAACACAAUUAGAGGACAUUACUCACCACAAACAAACACCAUUUAUUGUCUGACUUAUUGUGCAACAUUUAAUAUUCACUUAGGCUGGAAGUAUGAUUUUUAUUUUACAGUAAAAACUUUUUUUAUGUAAAAAAAAAAAUCUAAUUAACAUUAAAUUUUCUGUCUAGAAUAUCAUCAGGUAUAUUAUCAUGAGAAAAAUGGCAAUAUUAUCAUUCUGAAUUUGGACUCCAUUAAAUCAGUUUCAGUUUAAGAACUUAUUUGUUAAAUAAGUACUUGUCCAUAUUUCUGUGGACACACACAAUAUUAAAAAAAAAAAAAAUUAAACAGUCUUUUCUCAAACUUUUCCUCAUUUCGUUAAACUGAAUAAUUAAAACCAGCUAACUCAAAGAAAAUAAAUCAGUGUCAUAUUAGUUUAUUUUGUAAUAUAUUUAUAAUUAUAUAUA